rnacentral:rRNA from 1 species
UACGAGGGGGGCGAGCGUUGUUCGGAAUUAUUGGGCGUAAAGGGUGCGUAGGCGGAUCGUUAAGUCGGGGGUGAAAUCCUGGAGCUCAACUCCAGAACUGCCUUCGAUACUGGCGAUCUUGAGUCCGGAAGAGGUGAGUGGAACUCCUAGUGUAGAGGUGGAAUUCGUAGAUAUUAGGAAGAACACCAGUGGCGAAGGCGGCUCACUGGUCCGGUACUGACGCUGAGGUGCGAAAGCGUGGGGAGCAAACAGG